CUUGGAACGGUAAUAUAGACGUCAUCAAAUUUCUGCUCAGUGUUACAGGUGAGGUGAAUCGAAACGCAGAAGAUCAACACGCAUUGCUCCUUAAGGGUGACCCUGUAGAGGUGAAUAAAGCAGACAAUGAAGGGAGAACAGCAUUACACAUCGCCGUUCAGCAUGGUUACAUUGACGUUGUUAAAUUCCUGCUUACAAGUGGAGCACGAAGUGACACAGAAGACAAUCGCGGCCAAACACCCUUACAUCAAUCGUUAACCGUUGGGCGCAGAGACAUUGCUGCUCUGCUUAUCGACCAGUUGAAUGCUAAGAAUGAUUCAGCAGCCAUCCAUCUUGCUGUAAUACACGGACAUACAUCCAUCAUUGAAAAGCUCAUUGCUAAAGGAUCUGAUAUCAAUGCACAGUCUAAUGACGGUCAGACAUGUCUUCAUAAAGCUAUCAAAUUAUGCUACCAAAAGAAAAGGAAUGUUGAAGACACCGAAACACUCAGAAAGGUAUCCGAAGAAUACUAC